ACUACGGGGGGCAGCAGUGAGGAAUAUUGGUCAAUGGACGCAAGUCUGAACCAGCCAUGCCGCGUGCAGGAUGACGGCUCUAUGAGUUGUAAACUGCUUUUGUACGAGGGUAAACCCCGAUACGUGUAUCGGGUUGAAAGUAUCGUACGAAUAAGGAUCGGCUAACUCCGUGCCAGCAGCCGCGGUAAUACGGAGGAUCCGAGCGUUAUCCGGAUUUAUUGGGUUUAAAGGGUGCGUAGGCGGUUUGAUAAGUUGGAGGUGAAAUGUCGGGGCUCAACCCCGAAACUGCCUCUAAUACUGUUGGACUUGAGAAUAGUUGCGGUAGGCGGAAUGUAUGGUGUAGCGGUGAAAUGCUUAGAGAUCAUGAAGAACACCGAUUGCGAAGGCAGCUUACCAAACUGUAUCUGACGUUGAGGCACGAAAGCGUGGGUAGCAAACAGGAUUAGAUACCCUGGUAGUC
rnacentral:rRNA from 1 species